UGCAGUGAGCUGUGAUCAUGCCACUACACUCCAGCCUGGAUGACGGAGCCAGACCCUGUCUCUAAAAUCAAAAAAGCAGACAAAGACACGAAAACACAGAUUAGCCUAUGUCUAUACAGGGUCAGGACCAUCAAUAUCACUGUCUUCCACCUGGACAUCUUGUCUUGCUGGAAGGUCUUCAGGAGCAGUAACACGCGUAGAGCUGUCAGCCCCUGUGAUAACACUGCCUUCUGGAAUCCUCCUGAAAGAUCUACCUGAGGCUGUCCUACAUUAAUUUUAAAAAAAUAAGCAGAGGGAGUACACUCUAAAAUGACGACAGAAAGUGUAGCAUAGUAAAUAUAUAAAAUAGCAACAUAGCUUUUUAUUAUCACGAUCAAGUCUUACAUAUUGUACAUAAUUGCAUGUGCUAGACUUUUCUAUGACUCGCAGUGCAGUAGGUUUGUUUACACCACAACACUGCAAACACUUGAGUAAUGCACUGGGCUACAACAUCACGACAGCUACAAUGUCACUAGAGGAUAGGAAUUUUUCAGCUCCCUUAUAAUCAUGUGCGACCACUGUCAUAUACACAGCCCAUUGUUGACCAAAUUGUGUUUACAUGGCGCAUGAUUGUAAUGUGUGCGGUAUGUAGAUUUACAAUGAUUGGAGGAGCUGUUAAGUCUGGAAGGAGUGAUAUAGUCACUCCUGGAGGAAGUAGGGUAUGUAGUCAUCUGGGUUCCAUUUGGGUGCUUGAUUCUCUAAUCAGCCCUGGCUGGGCUUGGGAUGAGUCAGGUCUCUCAUCUGCCCUUACUGACCAGCACUGGAGAGCCACUGUCUGUCUCAUAGCCUAUCUUUGUGCCUGACGAGCAGGGGUGCCUGGCUUUGGAAGAUUACACUGAGGUAGAAGUUAAGGUGGGGUCUGAGGACAGAAUGCUUUGGAGCAGAGGCAGCGAAUGUAGUAGUGAUGAAAGAGGUGGCUGCUUUAAAAUAAGAGAUUGUCCAGGAAGAAAUGGCUCUGGCAGGAUUAGCCCUUAGCAUUUAAGCCCCACUUGCUUCUCCUGAAUUGUUAUAUUUCAGCAGACAAGGCUCCUAGUGAGGAUUGUCUGUCUGACCAUAGGAAGACAAGCCGUGACUCCAUCUCAGGCAGUAGCAAACCCCAGGCACAGGAUUUCUUCAUCCAGCUUCUCUCCCCAGCUGCCAAAUACAUUUUCCUCUUGUUUUCAUUAAACUUCUGGUUUCUGCUCCUGUCAAUAUCAUCAUACCAACAUGCACGCACACACAUGCUCAUCACCAGCAGCCCCCCAGAGGUGCUCUGGGCCAUCGUCUUGAAUUUUAAAAACUAGUAUUGUCCCCUUGAUGAAGAAAUACCCAGGGGAGAGAUGUUGUUUAGGGCACGCUUCAGGCCGAACUGUUGUUCCUAAGAAAUGGAGCAACUCAGAUUCCUUCCUAGGGAAUGGGAGCUCUAGGAUGGGAAAAAUGACCCCGUGCACUGGUAGUGACCGCUCAGCCAUGGAGGAAAGCCGGUCAAGUGGGCAGAGAAGAUGGCUGAGGCCCAGAUGUCUACAGAGCCCUUGGACAUGGGAUUUGGGUGGCUCCUGCCCCUGGUCUGAUUCUGCCCACUUGACCCUACUGGGUAGCCAUAGUGAUGCUGGAGGGAUAAGGCUGAAGCACUUUGCCUUUGAUUCUUGCUUCCCUUUUAUGUGGGAGCGGCUAACAGAGUGUGAAAGUGCACUCUUUAAUGUACAAUCUACCCGGAAAGAUCAAUGGCAGCUUAACAUGCAUUUCUGUCUAAUAUUCACUUUGUCAGGUCUUUGUAAUAAAAAAUGCCGGUUUUAAUGAAGUGCAUCAAAAUGAGGAGAUUCAUGGCCAGCCUGUAUGCUUUUAUCACCAUUGCCUCCCCUUGAGCUGUCAGCGCACAAGGCAUUCUGUGGAAGCAAGGCAGAGGGUCAUCAUUUUAGGAAUCACACACACACGCAAAUUCUCCAUUUUCGCAAAGAUCCAUGAUACUGGAUAUAUUUCAAUUUAAUGCACAUUAUUUCUAUAAUAUGAGAUCAUCCCAGAGAUGUAUCUUUGGGAGGAACUUGCAUUUAGGAACCAGGUAGAUGGACAUGAUGGGGAGAAGACACCUGGUGUGGGCUAGCUUGUGUCCCACCAAAUUCCUAUGCUGAAGUCCUAACUCCCAGAACCUCAGAAUUUGACCGUAUUUACAGAUAGGGUCUUUAAAGAGAUGAUUAAGUUAAAAUGAGGCCAUUAGGGUGGGCCCUAAUCCAAUGAUUUGUGUCUUCUAAAAGGAGAUCAGGGCAUCCAGAGGCACCAGGGGUACAUGUGCACAGUGGACCGGCCAUGUGAACAGACCACAAGCCAAGCAGAGAGGCCUCAGAGAGGGCCAACCCUGCCUACGCUGCUGAUGUUGGACUUCCAACCUCCAGAACAGUGAGAAAAGAAGUUUCUGUUGCGUAAGCCACCUAAGCUGUGGUGAUUUGUUAUGGCAGCCUGAGCAAACUAGCGAACGGUCUCAAGCUUGAGAUUGGAGCAGUGAGCGCUAAGCUCAUUCUUAAGGAGAAUAAAAUGAUCUGAGGGCAUCUGUAACCAUGUAUGCCCUGGAGUGAGGUCGAUGGGGAUGUCUGGAAACUUCUGGAAAACAGAGAGCUUUAACUGUUGCCACUGGUAAGAGGGAACAUGCUAUGUGAGGAGGCUGUGCUUAGAACUGUGGGUAAAAUGUUUGCAUAGGUAGGAAGGUGCUCGGGUUGUGUUUGUUGAAUGUUACCAAAUGAACCGAAAGACAGCAUAGCAUGGCUGUCAGAAGUACAGACACUGGGACCCAGUCUCUACCACGCACCAGCUAGGUGACCUCUCUGACUUCAUGGACUAUUGUGAGGAUUAAAUUACUUAAUUCUUUUAGUGCUUAGAACAAUGCUAGGCACACAGAGAAUGUUCUCUAAAUGUUUGUUAAGGGCAGAAGUGGCCUGGACUCAAGAGGAGGAAGUCUGUGGCACCAGCUGCUCAUAUAAUCCCAGAGGCCCCCGGAUGCCCAGCAAGCUCUUUAUCACCCAGGUCACCAAGCCCUUCCCACCACCACUGUGUCCCCUGACUCAUCCCUUCCCUCUGUUCCCUGGCACUGCUUCCCUAUGGGUUCCCAUCGACUCAUCUAGACUCUUCUCCAUAUCUUUCUUCCGGUCUCCUUGCCCCUAGCAUCAUCUUCUCAUUCUCUUACACCCUUCUGCCAAAGUAAAUUUAAGGAUCAUGGUCCCUUUCUGCUUAUGAUCUCCAUCAUCUAAGGGCUUGGGGAGGAAGCAUGGCAGUGUUGGUGGGUUGGUUAUGCCAUUUCAUGAGAUGAUGUGUUAAGUGUUGUAGACAUGCUGGCUUUUCAGGGGUGGCAGAAAUACAAUCAAGCUCUUUGGCACAAAAUCCUGAUCUUUUGUAUACUCUUCUGGCUUUAUUUCCUAUUGUUUCCCAUUACUGGAAGUUUCUGCCACACAAAUGCAAAAUUCUUACAGUCCUAGGAACAUGCAGUUCUGGGAGGGCACCACUGUGCCUUUGCACCUGCUGGACCCUGUAUCCUGAAAUACUCUUUUCCUUCUUUUAUUAAACUGGUAAGUUUAUGUUCAUCUUUCAAAAUCCAGAUUUCUCCCUUUAAGAAAGCAAUUACUCUUUGUUGAAAUAGAAUUGAGAGCUCCCAUGUAUUCUUUUUCCUAUCCUGGAUGAGAAAAAGAAAACAAACCUUGUUCUUAUCGAACUUACUUAUUGUCAAUACCUAAAUAUGAAAAGGAGAAUCCAAGAAAUAAUCAGCAAUUUGAGCAAUUUAAGGACUAAAACUGGCAUUUUUUUACAGAGUAUCUAACUUCCCCUCAAACCUCCUAGUCCUAUAAUAAAAUGAUAUUUAAAGGUGCAGUGCAAGUUACCUCUGCAGGAUAAGGGGAACAUUAAAGCCAAUGGUAUGGACAAAAAAGAGAGCUGAACAGGAACACCAAAUGCAGCCCAAGUAGGAGAAUCAAGGGAAUGUCAUUUUGCCCAGUGGCCACAAAUUUAUCAACACACCUAUGUCUGGUAACCUUCUAUCUUGUUCUUGCUCCAUUCCAUCCUUGGGAAUUGAGGACAAGAGGUGAGAGUCCUCACUGACCACCCAACUGUCUCCCAGAGCCUAGAAGCAGCUUAGUGCAUGCCAUGAUCACAGGACAAGUGGUCUCAGGAAAACCACAGUCUCUCUGGGCAUAGGUUUACGCAUCUAUAAAAUGGGCUUGCUAGAGUCUAAUUGACAAGAUUUCCCAGAGCACAAGUAGAUGAUGCAUGGCAAAAGUACUUUCCUAACUCAGAACGCUGUCCAGGUUUCUAUGUUGCUUUUGGGGGGAACUGCCAUGUAGGUAACUUUGGUGCUCCCCACUCCGCUUUCCCAUCUUGAUAUCUCAUUGAGAUAUUAUACUUUGAGCACCUGAUCCAGAGUCCCCAGUGUCCUUUUGCUGCUUAGAGAUCUCCGAAGGUUGGCCCAAGGUUGGUGCUCUUUGGGCCUCCCAUCUUUGGACCUGUCUGAAAUAAUCCACAUUCCACACUUUUUCCCCAUCCUCCCAAAGCUACACCUCACAAUCAAAAACCUAACAGUCUCUUCAGGGGUGCUGGGAAGUGGAGGGAUUUAUCUGUUAACUGAUUUUGCAAAAGCAUUAUCAGGUAGUAGCAUUGUGUGCAACCUCUCUUCUGUGAGCAAUAGAGAUAUAUUACCUGACAUAUUACCAGAGCCCUAAAUGGUGACCCUUUGGGAAUUUGAACUCUGGAAGCUCAGAAUGUGGGUGAGGGCAGCAAACUAAUAACUAUUGGUCUCUAGAGACCCAUAACAGCACCAGGGAGCGACUAUUAUCUAGCCCUAUGAAUAAAUUGUAGGAUUGUAUAAUAGAAUUACUAGUUCCUUCCUCUAACUACGUUUUAAGGAGAGUAUAAUGAAGAGGUAGGGCUUCCUGGGAAAGAAGAGCCAAAAGAAUGGCUCUUAAAUGUUUCUGUAUUUUGAUGAUAUGCUAGCAAAAUAUAAGGGAAAAUAGCUGCAAGGGUAAAUGAGAUAAUAACAACCAUGGAUCAUUUUUAGUUCCUGGGAAGAAAAGCACCAUAUAGAUUUGAGGUGUUAUUAUUAUGCAUACAAUAUAUAUAUAGACAUUGUAUAUUUAUUCAGAGUGAAGCUCACAUAUGUCAUUCCCACUAAUAACAUUUCUUUUCUAGCUCCCGCGUAAGAGGAGAUAUGCCAUUUUCAUAUGUUCCACACAUACUCAGAGGAACCUGCUUAGAAUAUUUUUGCUGAUGAAAUUUUCCAGGUUGUAACAUUUAUCUUUUUGAAGAGCUUGCUUCCUGCAACCUCACGUGGAGAUCUGUGCUUUUACCUCUCAUUGUGAUGCUAUCUACAUGUGGAUUUUUGUGUCAACUGCUUAUCUUAGCCAUUAACCAAUUUUUUUGUCCGUUUGUAUUGUUUAUAAAGUGUUGGGCAUACAUAGUGUUUCGCCAAUGCAUGGAGACCUGGCUCCCUGCCCCAUGGAGUGCACCAUCUAAUAAAAAUGGACAAGCCCAGAACAAUAGAAGUAACACAGAUAUGAGACCCAGAAAGAUGUUGCUGGCUUGGGAUUGAGGGUGGGCCAGCCAGGGAUUAAGUGGAGGAUCUGAAGAAAGACAGGAAAGCAUUUGGGAGAAAAUUAGAUGGAGGAUGUUCUAACAGAGGCACGCAGGUACUACAUAUACUCAGUCAGCUUUUAUACAAACACGGGGCUGGAAGAAGGCGGUACAGGUUCCCUGUCCAUUCUAUCUCCCUGAGCAGAGUGUUUUACUUCCUUCCUCAGUCCUUCGGCCUCUGAUUGAUCAUUCUUGGGGGUGGGGACAGGCCAGUUAAGUGUGGAUCUUUGCAGAGCAAGUGCUUAAUCUCCAGCUGGCUUCCUUUGCCACCCAGCAUGCUUCUGAGUGGCUCACUGCCUACGCUGUCACUUGCUGGGUGCUCGAAGAAUGCAAAUUCACUUGGGCAAAGCAUAAUAGAGAAAUUAAAUAUGCUGCAAAUAGAGGGGCACAUAUUUUAUAUUUUAUUCUCAACUAAAAAUAAACCAUUUGGGGUUAUGUGUAAUUGCUCUCUUGGAUUUUUCACUUCAUUGGCAUUUCUCUUUAGAAUGGAUAAUUAGAAACUCCAAGCUUAAUUUAUACAUACAGUCUUACACAGUUUUCAAGUGAGAAAACUUGCAUCAACUUUCAAUAUGUGUGCAUAUAUCGUCCACAUGGAGCAACAUUAGUAUGGGAGGAAGAGAAGGAGGAGGAGGAAUGGGCAGGCAGGACUCGGGUGAAUUUAGAAGGAAAGCAGACUGCAAUCGAGGGCAGAAAUGAAGUGCAGGCCAGACACUGAUUCGUGGUCUGACCUUGGACAGAAUCACCUUAGCUCUCUGUGCUUCCAUUUCUCUGUCUGAUUAUGUGCUUCGUAAACAUUCAGUUACCUUGGAGGUGUGGUUGAAGAGGUAGGGCAGAGGCAACCCUGGGAAUCAUUUUGUUGUCUGUGAAUGAAUUCUAUCCAGUCCAGCAUCCCUUGGGAGCACCUGGUCUCCCUAUAUUAAAAAAAAAAUCCACUAUCUGCACUUUCCUUCAGACAGACUCCAGGGUGACUGUGUGUGACAGGAGGGAGGAUCCAUGCCUGGCUCAGUUUCCUGCCGCUGUGGAAAGGACAUCAGGGGACCUUGUUUAUAUAAGAAGAUAAUGUGGCUGCCUCCCUGUGCCUCAGAACUGACUGUGACCCGAGGACUCCUCCUACACGUCUCUGGACGGAUCCUUGGCUCCAUUCUCCAGCUGCACAGUCAGGAGCUUGGAUGUGCCCUGAAGCCUGUACUCGCUGCAGGAGAGCUUCAUAAAGUUGAGAAGGCAGCAAGUGGCCCAGAGAAUGUGAUGAGCAGAGGGAGGAACGAACAUAGAAACAAAAAACAAACAAAAAACAAAACAAAACAAAACAAAAAAGCAAGCAAGCAACCAAGCAAGAAGGAAAGAAAGAAAGAAAAAGAGGUAGGGGUGGAGUUUGCCCUGCUGUCUCCACAGCCUCCUUUACAGUGUAUUCCUCCUCUCUGGUCAUAAUGACUUGACCCAUGUUUACCGAAUGCUAACAUUAUGCCCAGCACCGUGCUGAGUACUUUACGUGACAUUCAUAGCCAAGUUCCCACAGGUUGUAUGAGGAUUUUAGAGGAAGAAUUAGAGAGGUUAAGAAGCUCACCUGAAAUCAGAUGCUAGUAAAUGAGAGGCCAGAUUUGAAUUCAGAACAUAUCCUCCAAAGCCACUAUUCAUACUGCCAUUUUUCUGACCACCCUCUUUUCUCCAAGUGCCUAAUGGCUCAAAUUGCCCCCUGGCCUUUUUUAGCUCUUUGGGUCUCAUUGCACUACCUCAUGCUAGAGGCAUAUCCUACAUCACUUCUUAUCCCUUUUAUUAAUCCAGACUUACAUGGUUCUGUAUUUAUUCACCCAAAGGUUUCCUUUUUCUGACAGAAGAAACUAAUUUCUACUAGUGUUAAUGACUACCAAGGAGUAAUCUUUAACUUUAAACUGAAAACCUUCUGCGUUGUCACAGUGGAUUAGCAUUCUUUAAGACCAAGGAGAGAUAAAUUUAUAAGCUUCAUGCAUUAUCUGGACCAGUGAGAGAGAAAAUGUGGGGUUAGGGAAAGGAGAAUGGGGCAUUCAUCCUUGCACCCUGUGAAUAACAUUAUCUUAUGAGCCUUAUAUAUAAUAAAUAUUCAAUAAAUGUUUGCUGAAAAAUUA